GCAAACUUGGUCAUUUAGAGGAAGUAAAAGUCGUAACAAGGUUUCCGUAGGUGAACCUGCGGAAGGAUCAUUAAUAAAUGUUCUUUCCCAUUAUUUUCUGUGUAGUUGUAUUGGUAGAGCAUAUUGCUCUAUUGAUAUUUAAUAUAUAAACUUUUCCGGUUUAAUUAUACUGAGUUUCCAUAUAAUUUAAAAUUAUAAACAUAACUUUUAACAAUGGAUCUCUUGGCUCUUGCAUCGAUGAAGAACGCAGC
rnacentral:misc_RNA from 1 species